CGCACAUAUGGGUAAAUUUCAUUUGACCUAUUUUAUUGGUAAAAUUUACCUAGAAAAUCAGUAAUAUUUACUCAUAUUCUGAACAAACCGACUUUACCCAUAUUUGAGUAAUUUCAUUUACCCAUAUUUGGUUGAAAAAAUAAACAUAAACAAAUCCGGUUUAUGGCUGCCGUGUCGCUGUCGAAAAAAGUUUUCACUCUUUCAACGUGAUUGCGAUUACAAACAAAGAUGUAGUUCGUAAACAAAAGGAAAAUGAGUUCUGACAAUCGGUAGCAGCAGAUUGACCUGCUUGCAAACGGCCUCGUCGAUGGGACAGUAGAUUGCCUGAACAGGAAACAAUUUCCGAAUCAUCGUUAUCGUUCCAUCAUCGUUAAUUCCUGGGAACAUCGGAUUCAACUAUAGUAUUGUGUAUCCGGAAUAAAUUUAUACCGCUUUUUAUACCGAAGUUGGAUUUUUCUCCAGAUACAAGAAACUUUCCCAACUUCGGAAGUAGUGCGCUGGAUUCGCCUAAAGAUGCGCUAAACAACGCAUCAAUUAGUUUGACAAAAAAAACUUCGGAAGAAAGUUCGGUUCGGAAGUCCCGACUUCCGAAUUCUAACUUGGUGCUACGCCGACAAUACAUUGUGCUGUCGUCAUUGCACCUGGUUGAUAUUGAUCUGAUCCGAAGGUCAUCGCAUAGCCACAAAUAAGACGAUCUUUCUACGCCAUCGCUCCCCAUGAUAACCACAAAGGCCAUCGUUUUCCGCCUUCAUUAGUGGGAGGCAUUGAAGCUUUUACCAAUAUCUUCCGUUGUCCGUGCACAAACGACAGCUACUACUAUUCCGGAAAUCUUUUAUAUGAAUUGAAUCGUGAAAUUAUCUUGGUUGACAAGGUGGUGCAAACAUGUGCAGAGCCAUGGUUAAAGUGCUCUUCAAAAUCUACGAGAGUAGCGGACCAACGGUCCUAGGGGCACGGGCCCAUAGAAUGCAGAAACUCGCCAAAUCAACAGCGAUCACUACCGGCCGCCCGCUUUACCGUGUUCACCACCAUACGAAUUAUAGAAAUCUGUUCUGGUUACAUGCUGCAAGCAGGAAUCAACACUUCAUGAUGCCAUUAGGAUAUUUUGAUUGCAGAGGAAUGGCACUUUCAUCGCUUGAACCGGGAAUCGACCACAUUGGAUUGAUCAAUAAGCAUAAAUUCAAGUCCCCGGGAUAGGGAGACAGCGCUGCGAGACCGUAGAUUUUUUUUUGAAUAGGCAAUGAAUUUUCAGAUGGUUGAUGAAUAUUCAAAUAAAUUUGCUAUUGUUUUUCUUCAG